UACGUAGGGUGCAAGCGUUAAUCGGAAUUACUGGGCGUAAAGCGUGCGCAGGCGGUUGUGCAAGACAGAUGUGAAAUCCCCGGGCUCAACCUGGGAAUUGCAUUUGUGACUGCACGGCUAGAGUGUGUCAGAGGGGGGUAGAAUUCCACGUGUAGCAGUGAAAUGCGUAGAGAUGUGGAGGAAUACCGAUGGCGAAGGCAGCCCCCCUGGGAUAACACUGACGCUCAUGCACGAAAGGCGUGGGGAGCAAACAGG
rnacentral:rRNA from 1 species